GACGAACGCUGGCGGCGUGCCUAAUACAUGCAAGUUGAGCGCUGAAGGUUGGUACUUGUACCGACUGGAUGAGCAGCGAACGGGUGAGUAACGCGUGGGGAAUCUGCCUUUGAGCGGGGGACAACAUUUGGAAACGAAUGCUAAUACCGCAUAAAAACUUUAAACACAAGUUUUAAGUUUGAAAGAUGCAAUUGCAUCACUCAAAGAUGAUCCCGCGUUGUAUUAGCUAGUUGGUGAGGUAAAGGCUCACCAAGGCGAUGAUACAUAGCCGACCUGAGAGGGUGAUCGGCCACAUUGGGACUGAGACACGGCCCAAACUCCUACGGGAGGCAGCAGUAGGGAAUCUUCGGCAAUGGACGAAAGUCUGACCGAGCAGCGCCGCGUGAGUGAAGAAGGGUUUCGGAUCGUAAAACUCUGUUGGUAGAGAAGAACGUUGGUGAGAGUGGAAAGCUCAUCAAGUGACGGUAACUACCCAGAAAGGGACGGCUAACUACGUG
rnacentral:rRNA from 1 species